rnacentral:lncRNA from 1 species
GUUUAAUUAACCAGGGUCACACAAGAAACUGGUAGUAAAACAAAACCAAAAAGUAAGAAAAAAAAAGUGGAGUUAUGUGAUUUUGGUUUUAAGAUAAUGUAAACUAAGUUGACAGAUGUAGUUAUUUAAGAGGUUUUCAUUUACAUAGGACAUUUUAAUAGCUGUAUCUAUAGCAGGUGUUCUAGAUACUCGGACAUGUUUGAAGGUUAAUUCAUGCUUUUGAGAAUCCUUAUGCAGGUUCACACGCAUACCUUUUGGAUUUGGGAAAUGUUGGAAAAGAGAAAGGUAUCAAUCUGUGAGCUCAGAUACUUGCAAAGUCACAUUUUUGCACGUGAGUAUAUAGCAGAGCAGCUUCCAGCAUCAUCACUAGUUUGGCCAUGACCAGUCCUAGCCAGAAGAGCAGAAUUGCCCUGCUCCUCUCUCCUGAUCUGGUCUGUGCUCCCCACCUUUGUGUCACAGCAUCUCAGUCGCUUCCUCAGCCUGUGCAGUGUCUGCCUUUGCUCACAAGCCUGUGUUACCACUCCUUGAGAGUCUCCUGGCAUUCUCAUUAAUUAGCUGACAAUUUCUCUUGCUAACUUGUAGUAAAUCAUAUCACUGCCACAAGAUACUGCAUCCUGUGUAUUCUUUUGUGAUUCUGUUUUCCUUUCUUGCUUUCAACUACUGCCUGCAGCCCUAGGUCUCUAUCUCAUGUGGCUGCUGUAACCCUCUCUCUCCCACAGCUCACACAGUGGUGCACACAAUCAUCUGACUUUCAGAUGUGGUAUUUCCUUGCAACUGAUUCACCUUGCAAAUUCGUGACUUGCAUGCCACAGUGCUUAUCAACUGAUUCAGCAAUGACAGCUUGCUUAACAAAGGAUGGAGUUCCUCAUUUCUUAUUUAGUCUUACAUACACAAUAGACAGGCUUGGCUUCUCAGGAGCAGUGGCAUUGCUGCAUUUUUUGUCCAAUUCUAGUGUUUGCUAACCUUGGUAGAUGUAUAUAUUUAACAGCAUAAGAUUGGAGGAUCUAGGGUACACUUCCAAAUCAACUGCCUUACAGGGGACUAGCAAGAAAUCAACUGGGAGCCAUCACACAGCUGGUACAACCCAGGCUGUAACAUUCUUAAAAACUUUGGUGACAGCUUUACAGAAGUGAAGGGAGCCAGCUGGGAAAGAUUCCCUCCUUGACCUACUGCUUGUCAACAGAGAGGGUGUUGUGAGUGGAGAUUGGCUCCAUCUUGGCCUCAGUGACCAUGAAAUGGUUAAAAUCUUUGUUGAUGUGAGGGAAAAUCUCAGGAAAACCUCAGCUCUGAGCAUGAGGAGAGCAGACCGCUCAGGGAACUAGUAAGCAAAAUCCUCUGGGAAAAUGUUCAGGCAGGUGCUCCAGUCCCAUCAGUGCUGGCCAUUUUUUAAACAUUAUCUAGGGGCACUGUAACAGGCAGUUCCUAAAUGCUGGAAGUCAGGCAGGUGAGGCAUCUUCUCUUGGAAAUAAGGGAAAAAGUAAAGUAUAUGCCCAAUGAAGGUCAGGUAACAUGGGGAAAAUGCAGAGAUGCUGCUUCCCAUUGUAGUUAGAAAAUUUAUGCAGCCAAAACUCAACUGGAGUGGAAGCUGGCCAGAAACAGGAACAAUAAAAACAAGUCUUUUCAACUACAUUAAUGGCAAAAGGCAGUGUUGAAAUAACACCAGUUGUUAGAGUAUGAGGAAAGUCAUCUCACAAGCAGGGACAGGGGCAAGGCAGAGGUUGUGCAGGGCUUUCUUUGCCUCUGUCUUUAACAUGGAUGAUGGGCCACGGAUGAUGGACCCCCAAGGGGGUCUCAGUGCCCCGAGCUGGAGGACCAUGACUGAGAAAGAUCAAUUCCCUUUUGACCCUGAAGAUCCUUUUAUGCAGGAUCUUCUCCAUUUGGCUCCCUGCAAAUCUGGGGCCUGAUGGGAUUCAUCCAGGAAUCCUCAAAGAGCUGGCAGAUGUCAUCACAAAGCCUCUCUCCAUGGUUUUUGAGCAGUCUUGAGAAUCUGGAGAGGUUCCAGCUGACUGGAAGCCAGUGAACAUUUAUCCCAGUUUUCAAGAAGGAAAAGAAGGAAGACCCCUAAAACUACACUGAAGUCUCACUUCACUGCUGGGUAAAAUUGUAGAAAAGAUGGUUCUGGGAGUACUGAAAAACACUUGGAGGACAGCCCAGUGUUCAGUCACAGCCGCCACAGCUUCAUGAGGGGAAAGUCCUGCUUGUCCAACCUGAUCUUCUACAGCAACAUAACCCACCUAGCUGAGCAGAGGAAGCCAGGUGAUGUAAUCUUUUCGGGUUUCAGUAAAGCUUUCCAUACUGUCUCUGUCAGUAUCUUUCUGGACAAAACAUCCAGCCCACAGCUGGAUAAACACAUCACGUGGUGGGUGAGCAGCUGGCUCAAGGAUCAGGCACAAAGGGGAACUGAAUGGGGCAACAUCAGACUGGUGACCUGUCACUGGUGGGGUUCCACAGGGCUCUAUCCUCAGUCCUGUGCUCUUCAACAGCUUCAUAAAUGGCCUGGACACAGGACUGGAAGGAAUACUAAGGAUGUUUGCCAACAACACUAAAUUGGGAGAAGCUGUCCACUCCUUCAGCGGCCUUGCAGAGAGACCUCGACAGAUGAGAGGGCUGAACAGGCAUCACCUGUAUGAAGUUUAAUGAGGGAAAGUGCCAGAUUCUGUGAGUGGGGCAUAGCAACCCUGUGUAUGUGUAUAGAUGGGAAUGAGAGGCUGGAGAGCAGCUCCAUGGAAAGGGACCUAGGGGUCCUGAUUGACAAAUUGAAUGUGAGUGAGCAAUGCCCUGGCUGCCAGGAGAGCCACCAUGUCCUGGGGUGCAUCAGGCACAGCAUCGCAGCUGGGCAAGGGAGGGGAUUGUCCCCUUCUGCACUGGGGGUGCCUCACCUAUACCAAAAUAUAAAAAAGACAUUAUGCUUUUGGAGAAUGCUCAAAAGGCAGUGAAACUGGUGAAGGGUCUGGAGGGGAAUCGUAUGAGGAGCAGCUGGAGGUCACUUGUGCUGUUCAGCCUGCAGGAGACUGAUGAGAGACCUCAUUGUGAUUUUCAGCAUCCUCACAAGUGAAGGGGCAGGCACUGAUCUCUUGACUCUUGUGACCAGUGACAGGACUUGAGGAAAUGGCAUGAAGCUGAGUCAGGGGUGGUUUAGGUUGCACAAUCAGAAAAGGUCCUUCACUCAGAGAGUGGUUGGGCACUGGAACAGGCUCCCCAGGGAAGUGGUCACAGCCUGACAGAGUUCAAGAAAAGUUUGGGCAAUACUCUUGGGCACAUGGUGUGAUUCAUGGGGAUGGUGCUGUGCAGGACCAGGAGUUGGAGAGAAUGAUCCUGAUGGACCCUUCCAACUCAGCAUAUUCUAUGAGUUUGUGAAUUACUGCAGCCACAAAGCUCUGUGUUUUUUCAAGCACACAAAUACUCUAUUUGUGAGCCAUCAGUUUUGAAAUGCAUAUUCUGCCUAACACAGUCUCACAUGCUGGCCUUUGCAGUGGAUUGCACUGUGCCACUUAACACAUCACUGUGUCUCAAAGUGCAGCUUCCAGUUGUAAGAGAACUGGUACUAUCAGACUUCUCGUACCUAGAACAAAACUCAGCAAAUCUUCAUCUUGAAAUGGACAUCUUGGAAAGGCUCAUCCUGGCACCACUAGAAGAAUCUAAAGUUAACAUUAUUUCUUCCAUUAUAAAUGACCUGGGAGAUAUCCUACCAAGUUCCUCUGUCUCACUGUUUCUUCCCAUAGAUCUGUGCAGGAGAAUCAUUUUCACCACACCAUGUUUGCUAGCGUUUGGAGAAUGUUUAAUUUUUUUUUGAGAAGCAGUUAAGGGAAGAAUAUGGAGAGAGAAGCAGCAUUUCAGAGCUCAUUUGAGUACUAAGAGCUUGAGCCAUCAUACAGUCUUAUUUAAAAACUGAAUAUAAAUCUGUUAGUUCAACAAGAGAAAUGAGAAGGAACUGUACUCAAAACAAGAAAUGAAUUUUUUUUUCAUGUGCAACAGACUAGUAAUGAGAUGAUAUACAUAGACCAUAGUGUUUAUAUGGUCUACCAUCUUCAAAAAAAUCCUUAGCAAGUAGCUGUGAUAGUGUUGCAUAAUAAUUAAGAGUAUUUCUGUAAAAAGUCACUAAACAAUCAUGCUAAUUGAAAGAAGUAAUUAUGCAUACUGGUGCUGCUAAAACACAUGCUUUUGCAUUAUCUGAAGCAUUGGUUCUCUCUCUCAGCUCACUUUUACUCUGUAAUUUACUGACCUGCUGUUGAUCAUAGACCACAUCCCUUCUGUGUACCAAGUCAUUACUACUGUUGCAACAUACACUUCCUUUCUACCCAGAUCUAGUGCAACAUGCAAGGCCAGGAGCACUUUGAUUUCAUUUUGCCAUGUCUUUUCCUUCUGAGGAGCAAGGCCAAAUUUAAAAACUUGUUACUACAAACUGCUUUUCAUCUUCCGCUGUAUACCAUUUCAUCUUGGGCCAGCAUGAGCAGAUUUAAGGAAACAGCAGGGAAAGGAGGUUGCAGAGCAUGAAAAAAAGUGAUUGCAUUUGGUCUUUAAGACUUCAGCAUGGAGAAUGAUCAGUUUGCAACAAAAGGGGUAAAUGCAGUUGAAUAUUACAAAUUACAUAGCAUCAAAAAAUAAAGAUGUCAGUUUUGGUC